rnacentral:rRNA from 1 species
AGUGAACGCUGGCGGUAGGCCUAACACAUGCAAGUCGAACGGCAGCACAGUAAGAGCUUGCUCUUACGGGUGGCGAGUGGCGGACGGGUGAGGAAUACAUCGGAAUCUACUUUUUCGUGGGGGAUAACGUAGGGAAACUUACGCUAAUACCGCAUACGACCUACGGGUGAAAGCAGGGGAUCUUCGGACCUUGCGCGAUUGAAUGAGCCGAUGUCGGAUUAGCUAGUUGGCGGGGUAAAGGCCCACCAAGGCGACGAUCCGUAGCUGGUCUGAGAGGAUGAUUAGCCAGACGGGAAGUGAGACAGGGUACAGACUCCUACGGGAGGAAGCAGUGGGGAAUAUUGGACAAAGGGGGCAAGCCUGAUACAGCAAUACCGCGUGGGUGAAGAAGGCCUUAGGGUUGUAAAGCCCUUUUGUUGGGAAAGAAAAGCAGCAGGUUAAUACGCCGCUGUUCUGACGGUACCCAAAGAAUAAGCACCGGCUAACUUCGUG